CAAAAGAUAACUACUGUAGAGCAUCUUAUAGAGAUUGGAAAGGGUUAAUAUUUUAAUUCCUUGCAAUCUCAAAGAAAAAGGAACGAGAGUAGGAGGGAUGGAGGAUAAAAGCACCUGCAAACAAAAAAACAAAAGAAGAAGCUAAUAUCAAGCCUUAAGGAAAAUAAGAGAAGAAUUAGUGUCAAAGUGCACUACGUAACUAACCUAAAGCAAAAGGGGAUAGGGUAUGAAGCAAUUGAAAUUCGGCAGAAGUGAUCGGAGGCAACAAAAGAUGAGAGUUUACUUCUUUCUAAUGAAGGGAUUUUUGGAAUGGAGGAGAACAAGCUAGGUAAUUUAAUCCCUUUUUUUCCCUUGGUAAUUUAUUUGAUAUUUCCUUUAUUCAAUACCUAGCCUAUUAUUAGUUAUUGAUUUUGUAAUUUAGGGUAAAGAUAACAAAGUAUUCUUAAGGUGUUUCAAUAUAGCACAAUCAUGGAAUUCCUAUUAGAUUGAACAAAAAACCUAUCAGUUUAUAUUAAGCACUUUACUAUGCAAGUUAGCAGUGCUUGUAAACUGCUACAUAAGGAUAUGAGUAUUGUUUUUGUGUCAAACAAAAUAAAUUCUUCUUGUCCUAUAUAUAUAUUAGUAUAAAUCAAAUAAUAAGAAUAGAUUUUAAAAAAAAAAAACAAGAUGCAACUCCUAGCCAAUUAAGUAAUACUAAAUUAAUUAACAGAGAAUUAAGGGUCAUAUUUCAGAGGAAUGGAUAUCGGGGAAUUGAUUAAAUGUGAUAGAAAUGGACCAAUUACGUUGGCAAUUCACGAAGUUGAUGCAAGAUUGAUUUUGUAACAUUAUAGGUAGUUGAAGAAGUUGAAUGUGUGCUCGAGCUGGCGCGCUUGUUAUGUUGGCGCGAGUACUGUGAGUAGUAAUCUUACCACAAUUUGUAUUUUCAUAACCUGCAUGGUUUAUAAAUUAUUUUGAAAAUAAAAUAUGUUACCGAAUGUUUGAAAUUGCAUGUGGGACAAGUCUUACUUGAUAUGGUACUGAAUAGUUUACUUGAGAUGUUUAUAGUUAUUUAAAAUGUUCCCUGUUACUAGACAUGUUUUACUAUUACUAGAGAUAUGAUUACCAUUACCGAAAUUGGAUUACAUGAUUUGAUAAAAAUUAAAAUGCCCUGUACUGUUUUGAAAAUUCUUCUAUGUGAAGAUUUACUGUUUACAAAGAAAAAUAUGAAUGGGAGGAGACUUUGAAGGAUCCCGUAGCUAACGACGAGACCUGGUGCACCUUGUAUUUACUGGUUACCGUGUACAGUUAGAGCCCUCGCUAGUGGGAAGGUAGAACUAGCAUACAGAUAUAGUUUUCCCUCAAGUAGGGACCUACAGUUAUAUUUGACUCCUCUUAAGAAGGGGUCCAUAGAGUGAUACAGAUUACAUGAUCCUUUCUUGGUAACCUCCCAAAUAUAAAGAUUUGAUAUGACACAGUAUUACCGAGUUUAUUAUUGAAUUGUUAAAUUGAUUUUGUUGCAGGAAACACAUGAUGAGACUGAUUAUUAUUACCGUUUUAAAAAAGGGCAUUUUAUUUUGUUAUUAUUAUACAAGCAUGAUUUCUUACUUGUCCCCAAUUAAAAACGGUUGUGGUUAAAUAUUAUUACUCACUGAGCUAGCGACUUCACUCCCCGCUAUUAUUUUUUUUACAGACACAGCAGUUGACGCAAACGAGAAUUUCGUUAAUUAGAGUAUACGAGUUGAUAGUUCCUGGUGAGCCCCACACUUAUUCGCGUGGGCGAAGAGUUUAUUUCUUUGUUAUCGUGUUUUCUAUUUAACUCAUAGAGUCGCUCCAUAGUCAUUCUUUUAGUGUCAUGAGUAUUCUUUCGUUAUUAUAGACUUAUGAUGAGUAUUGCACUUCCUUAUUGAAUUUGGAGAUAAAUUAGUAUUUGUGGCUGUUAGUGAGUAUAUUAUAAUGAUUGAGACUUGUUUUGGUUAAUGUAUAAAGUUAUUGUUGGUUGGAUUGAUAUUAAGAUGUUUGGUUGUUGAUUUUGCGACAUAAAUUUUUUUUGGAUAGUCCAAAAAUAGUGGAAACUCUGUCCGUUUUUUUUUAAAUAUCAAUGAGGCUUACUUAGGAGCACGCCGAUCAUGAUCCUAAAUUGGAUCGUGACAUUUCUGGUGUAGAAACUCAAGUUAGUUGCUAACUGCACUGAAGCUGUUAGAAAGCAGUUUCAAUAAACCAGUUGUGUGGCUAAAUUACAAAAGG
rnacentral:lncRNA from 1 species